AAGACUUAGGUCAGGUGCAAAAAAAUCCUCAUUUGCAACUCCAAAUUCAUUGUUCAGUAUGAACGUGGAUACAUAUAAGAAGGAAUAUU
ensembl:snoRNA